AUAAAGGUCCUAUCCCAUCGGAUGCCAUGGGCAUUGAAUGGGACACAUUAAAAUGUGUAAUGGGGGUGUACAGAUCAAGCAGGUGGGGGGCAAUUAAAUAAAAUAGGGUGAUUUCCUUAUGUCUGACCAGGGGUCAUAAUAGUGAGUGGGCAAACCAAUACCUGUAAAAUAAAAAUGAGGUUUGCCCUUUUUUGAAAUUCUUCUUUUUUUCACCCCCAAAAAAGGCCAAAUGAAAAUACAUGUAUUCCGAAGCAAUUAAUAAUAAUGAAAAAGAUAUGCCAAAAGUUGUGACACAAAAUUCCCCAGACCGCAAUAGGCGAUUCCUAUUUUUUCACGGACAUCAGGUCCUCCAUGGGGUACUUAAGGUUGGUGAAAAAAGAUUUUUUUAAUUCUUUCACGCUGAUACUGGCUGGGAUGAGGAGUUUGAAAUGGAGAGACAGUUUCCUAUUCCUAAAACUAUAGUGUUUCGAUAACGAUUAUAGGUUUUUCUUUUGUAACAGAAUCCAGCCAUAAGUGCAUUAUUCUUUAGUUUACACUUAACUUGAAAAAAGGACCACAAAAGAUAUGCAGACCAUUUAAUCUCAGUGAAG